AGCUUUGUGCAGUGGCAGUAUCGUAGCCAAUGAGGUUUAUCCGAGGGGCGAUUAUUGCUAAUAGAGCUCAUACUAUAUAUCAGGAAUCAGCAAACUUUUUUGUGUGGACAGAGGGCAAAUAUUUUAGGCUUUUCUGGCUUUUCAGAAGC
ensembl:snRNA U4 U4 spliceosomal RNA